rnacentral:rRNA from 1 species
UACGUAGGGUGCAAGCGUUGUCCGGAUUUAUUGGGUUUAAAGGGUGCGUAGGCGGUCUAUUAAGUCAGUGCUGAAAUAUCCCGGCUUAACCGGGAGGGUGGCAUUGAUACUGAUGGACUUGAGUAAAGUUUGAGGUAGGCGGAAUUGACGGUGUAGCGGUGAAAUGCUUAGAUAUCGUCAAGAACACCGAUAGUGUAGACAGCUUACUAAGCUUUAACUGACGCUGAGGCACGAAAGUGUGGGGAUCAAACAGG